rnacentral:rRNA from 1 species
GACGAACCGUCCAAACGUUAUUCGGAAUUACUGGGCUUAAAGGGUUCGUAGGCGGCCUUGUAAGUGAGAUGUGAAAUCCCACGGCUCAACCGUGGAAGUGCAUUUCAUACUGCAAGGCUUGAGGGAGACAGAGGUAAGCGGAACUGAUGGUGGAGCGGUGAAAUGCGUUGAUAUCAUCAGGAACACCGGUGGCGAAAGCGGCUUACUGGGUCUCUCCUGACGCUGAGGAACGAAAGCCAGGGGAGCGAACGGG